CAUAGUAUACUUAUUAAUUCCCAGUUGUCAGUUGACUCAAGUCUACUUGCUCUCUCUGUAAUUAGUAACUUAACAAAAAACUUAAAAUGUCGAAAAUCAUUUUAUUAUUAUCUCUUUUUGUAUUAAUGGGGAUUUUUGCCAGUGUACAAGGCGGCUGUGACGGCCAAUGGUGUCAUCCUUCGCAAGGUUAUGGUUGUUGUUCCUUCUAUGGAUGUAGUUCAUAUUUCAGCCAAGGUAGCUGUAUACCUAAUGGAGCAAUUAGUGAAGGCAAACGUUAAUGAUUAAAAAAUACAGAAGUACAUUUAUAACGACAAAAUGCCACUAUAAAAAUUUUUUAGCACAUGUAUAUGAGUAUCUGAAUUUGUGAACUUUGUUGUACAUUUGAUUUUUUGAUUAAACUUUUUUGUGGAAAUUAUCA